rnacentral:rRNA from 1 species
UACGGAGGGUGCAAGCGUUAUCCGGAUUUACUGGGCUUAAAGGGUGCGUAGGUGGGUCUGUAAGUCAGUGGUGAAAUCUCCGAGCUUAACUCGGAAACUGCCAUUGAUACUAUAGGUCUUGAAUUAUCUGGAGGUAAGCGGAAUAUGUCAUGUAGCGGUGAAAUGCUUAGAUAUGACAUAGAACACCAAUGGCGAAGGCAGCUUACUGGGGAUUGAUUGACACUGAGGCACGAAAGCGUGGGGAGCAAACAGG